GCUUUCGUGGUGUAGUGGUCAGCACGCUCGACGCGUAACCGAGAGAUUCCCGAAAGCGUUGUAGAGGCCCGUGGUUCGAUUCCCGGCGAAAGCG
rnacentral:tRNA from 1 species